CCGAUGCGGCAACAGCGGCGGCGGCGUCGCCUUUGGUGAUGCCGCCGCCGGCGGAGCUGUCGUCUUCUUCCCCCACCCGUCCAUUGAUCCUCCUCCUCCACACGUUACUUCAACUGCCGCCGAUGCGGCAACAGUGGCGGCGGCGUCGCCUUUGGUGAUGCCGCCGCCGGCGGAGCUGUCGUCUUCUUCCCCCAUCCGUCCAUUGAUCAUCCUCCUCCACACGUCACUUCAACUGCCGCCGUUGCGGCAACAGCGGCGGCGGCGUCGCCUUUGGUGAUGCCGCCGCCGGCGGAGCUUUCAUCAUCUUCCCCCAUCCGUCCAUUGAUCAUCCUCCUCCACACGUCACUUCAACUGCCGCCGUUGCGGCAACAGUGGCGGCGGCGUCGCCUUUGGUGAUGCCGCCGCCGGCGGAGCUGUCGUCAUCUUCCCCCAUCCGUCCAUUGAUCAUCCUCCUCCACACGUCACUUCAACUGCCGCCGAUGCGGCAACAGGGGCGGCGGCGUCGCCUUUGGUGAUGUUGCCGCCGGCGGAGCUGUCGUCUUCUUCCCCCAUCCGUCCAUUGAUCAUCCUCCUCCACACGUCACUUCAACUGCCGCCGUUGCGGCAACAGUGGCGGCGGCGUCGCCUUUGGUGAUGCCGACGCCGGCGGAGCUGUCGUCUUCUUCCCCCAUCCGUCCAUUGAUCCUCCUCCUCCACACGUCACUUCAACUGCCGCUGUUGCGGCAACAGCGGCGGGGGCGUCGCCUUUGGUGAUGCCGCCGCCGGCGGAGCUGUCGUCUUCUUCCCCCAUCCGUCCAUUGAUCCUCCUCCUCCACACGUUACUUCAACUGCCGCCGAUGCGGCAACAGUGGCGGCGGCGUCGCCUUUGGUGAUGCCGCCGCCGGCGGAGCUUUCAUCAUCUUCCCCCAUCCGUCCAUUGAUCCUCCUCCUCCACACAUCACUUCAACUGCCGCCGUUGCGGCAACAGUGGCGGCGGCGUCGCCUUUGGUGAUGCCGCCGCCGGCGGAGCUGUCGUCUUCUUCCCGCAUCCGUCCAUUGAUCAUCCUCCUCCACACGUCACUUUAACAGCCGCCGAUGCGGCAACAGCGGCGGCGGCGUCGCCUUUGGUGAUGCCGCCGCCGGCGGAGCUGUCGUCUUCUUCCCCCACCCGUCCAUUGAUCCUCCUCCUCAACACGUUACUUCAACUGCCGCCGAUGCGGCAACAGCGGCGGCGGCGUCGCCUUUGGUGAUGCCGCCGCCGGCGGAGCUGUCGUCUUCUUCCCCCAUCCGUCCAUUGAUCAUCCUCCUCCACACGUCACUUCAACUGCCGCCGAUGCGGCAACAGCGGCGGCGGCGUCGCCUUUGGUGAUGCAGCCGCCGGCGGAGCUGUCGUCUUCUUCCCCCACCCGUCCAUUGAUCCUCCUCCUCCACACGUUACUUAAUAUAUUGUAUAUUGUGGUUACAGUGUUUCCGCCGCCGACGCGGCGGGUGCCCUCACGAGCCGUGAGGCUCCAGAGCACGCUGUUGACGCUCAUCAAAAACCUCAGUAAGGAAAGUAGCGAUUUUCCUCGGAUUGGUACUAAGAAAUACCUUGCGCAUAUCAGUAUCUUCAACGUUAAUCAGAAACCUAUUACGCAACUCAGUAUACGCCUCACACUCCAUAAGCACAUGAUAUUCAUCCUCAACCUUACCCGACGUACAGACCUGACACGUACGGCACUCUCUCGGCCUAUGGUGUCCUUUGUUGACCUCCAAAGGCCAACAACAAAGACGGAAUUUGGCAACCAUACGCAACUGGUUGACCGGCAAAUAAACACGCAAAUAGCCUGUGGGAUCGGAGCCCUCUCUUGCUGGUGAAGGGGAGCCCAUCCAGUUAUGAUACCUGCAAAGCGAAACCCCUUUACCUUGGAACACACGCGGAUCACCCCCUUGGCUGAACUGAUCCCAGUCACUUAAAAGGAACGCAGAUAACCUCUCCAGAACCUCACCCACUCGAAUCAACUGAGACGAGUAUACAUCUACCUUCUGAGAAACGGAGUCACACGCCGGCCACUCAUGGCCCAACCAACGCAAAAUGAUGAGCACUUUAGACGACCAGCAAUCCACUUUGAGAUCAGACAGAAGAGCCAGACGGAGAUCAUCUACUAACACGUCAUGAUAGACCGACCCACGGGACUUGACUAUCUUAUUCCAGAAACACAACGCAAGGCGUAACCAAAAGUACUGCAAAGGCAACUGAGACAGCUCCCUGUACAACAGCUUGUAAGGUACCUGCUUGAGCCCAGCACAACGUAAACAGAAGUCACGCUGGACCUGGACCAUACCAUCUUCCAAAGCCAAAUCAAAAUAUGACUUACCAGCGGGUAAAACACCUUAACCUAACCGCAGGACGGAGACAAUCCUAUCAGGACCCCAGACCUCAGCACCAUAACAGAGAACCGAACGGACCUGGGUGUCGAACGCUUGAAGCCGAACGGCAGGAGCCCACACCCUGUUCUCAUCCAACCGAUUACUAAGACCGAACAUAGCCCGUCGCCCUGCUUCCAAAAGUUCGUUGACACAACUCGCAAACGGGGACGCAGGGCCCCAAUAGAGACCCAAGUACCUAACGCGACCACACCAGUUAAUAGGACUAGGAACAAGUAAACUACCAACCAUGGGUGGGUGCCAAAGCGACCCAUCAGUACGGAGAGGGAGCAUGAGCCUCACCCCCUCAAACGCCCUCUUAACGACAUCAACGGAAGCAGCCACAACAAGGGCCUCACAUUUCCGAACGUUGCAGCGCAUACCAAAAGCAGCACAGAACUCAAUAAGCAGCUUAAGCGAGAACUGGAGGCGUGCCAACGAGGUCGCGAACAAAGUAAGGUCGUCUGCAUAGAACAACAGAGGCAACCGACGAUCAUUAAUGACAGGACAUUCGUGUGCACGUGUGUUGAACCAUUCGUCCAUACCAUCCCUCGCUUCAAGGUAGUCGGCAAUAACCUCAAUGAAGAACCCGAACAAAUUGGGACUCAUGGGACACCCCUGCUUCACGCCCUGCAGAGAGGCAAAGAUGGACCCUAGGCGACCGUUAACCUUGACCCGCUGGAGAACACGUUCGUAGCUGGCUUUAAGGGCCGCCAACAUGGGUCCAUGCACACCCCUCUCCUCUAGACGCUGCCACAGGCUCGCCCGGGGCACUCUAUCAAAGGCUUUCUCAAAAUCCACCUGACACGCAUACAGGGCCUGAUUGCUGCCGGGCCGCUCAUAACGACUUUUAAGAUGACGAACAACGAACAACUGAUGAACUGUACUGCGCUUUUGACGGGACCCAGCCUGAAAACGGCACCGGACACCAUCUUUAUCCCCGAAAGCUGCCAGCCGCCUGUCGAGAACCGUGGCAUAGCAUUUGGCAAUGGCGCAUCCCACAGCUAGACCCCUGUAGUUGUCCUUGACCCUGGGGUCGCCUUUCUUAAAUAACGGACUGAGAGACGCCACGCAAAACUGGUCAGGCACAUCCCCUGUAUCCCAAAUGUGCUGGAAAAGGUCUCGAAUCGCAGGGGCAAUAACAUUGACAGACACCCUGUCCUCAUCACCUUCACGAGGGAUUCGCUUGGCAUACUUGUAGCACUCGGCCGGAACCAUACCCAGACCCGGGGACGCCCAUUAGACANNNNNNNNNNNNNNNNNNNNNNNNNNNNNNNNNNNNNNNNNNNNNNNNNNAACAGCGGCGGCGGCGUCGCCUUUGGUGAUGCCGCCGCCGGCGGAGCUGUCGUCUUCUUCCCCCACCCGUCCAUUGAUCCUCCUCCUCAACACGUUACUUCAACUGCCGCCGAUGCGGCAACAGCGGCGGCGGCGUCGCCUUUGGUGAUGCCGUCGCCGGCGGAGCUUUCAUCAUCUUCCCCCAUCCGUCCAUUGAUCAUCCUCCUCCACACGUCACUUCAACUGCCGCCGUUGCGGCAACAGUGGCGGCGGCGUCGCCUUUGGUGAUGCCGCCGCCGGCGGAGCUUUCAUCAUCUUCCCCCAUCCGUCCAUUGAUCAUCCUUCUCCACACGUUACUUCAACUGCCGCCGUUGCGGCAACAGCGGCGGCGGCCUCGCCUUUGGUGAUGCCGCCGCCGGCGGAGCUGUCGUCUUCUUCCCCCAUCCGUCCAUUGAUCAUCCUCCUCCACACGUCACUUCAACUGCCGCCGAUGCGGCAACAGCGGCGGCGGCGUCGCCUUUGGUGAUGCCGCCGCCGGCGGAGCUGUCGUCUUCUUCCCCCAUCCGUCCAUUGAUCCUCCUCCUCCACACGUCACUUCAACUGCCGCCGAUGCGGCAACAGCGGCGGCGGCGUCGCCUUUGGUGAUGCCGCCGCCGGCGGAGCUUUCAUCAUCUUCCCCCAUCCGUCCAUUGAUCAUCCUCCUCCACACGUCACUUCAACUGCCGCCGAUGCGGCAACAGCGGCGGCGGCGUCGCCUUUGGUGAUGCCGCCGCCGGCGGAGCUGUCGUCUUCUUCCCCCAUCCGUCCAUUGAUCCUCCUCCUCCACACGUUACUUCAACUGCCGCCGAUGCGGCAACAGUGGCGGCGGCGUCGCCUUUGGUGAUGCCGCCGCCGGCGGAGCUGUCGUCUUCUUCCCCCAUCCGUCCAUUGAUCAUCCUCCUCCACACGUCACUUCAACUGCCGCCGAUGCGNNNNNNNNNNNNNNNNNNNNNNNNNNNNNNNNNNNNNNNNNNNNNNNNNNNNNNNNNNNNNNNNNNNCCGAAAGCUGCCAGCCGCCUGUCGAGAACCGUGGCAUAGCAUUUGGCAAUGGCGCAUCCCACAGCUAGACCCCUGUAGUUAUCCUUGACCCUGGGGUCGCCGUUUCUUAAAUAACGGACUGAGAGACGCCACGCAAAACUGGUCAGGCACAUCCCCUGUAUCCCAAAUGUGCUGGAAAAGGUCUCGAAUCGCAGGGGCAAUAACAUUGACAGACACCCUGUCCUCAUCACCUUCACGAGGGAUUCGCUUGGCAUACUUGUAGCACUCGGCCGGAACCAUACCCAGACCCGGGGAACGCCCAUUAGACAGGGACGACAAAGCCGCCUCAACCUCUUCAAGAGUGAACGGACCAUUCAUAGUGUCGGCCAUAGACCGUCUAGCAUGCACCGGUUCGGAAUCACGCCACGCCGCCCCGACUUGGGAGCCCGCACCGAGAUUGAUACAGUUGAGAAUGGCACAGACACGGGCCUCCUGCACCUCAUCGAAGGAGGCUGAGGCAUUAUAAAGGCGAUCGAAGUAGUCCGUCCACUCCGACACGUCUUCCACAUUGCAUCUGGACGCUGGCUUACCGUUCAGACGUUGCCAUAGGGUCUUCGCAUCACGUUUGCAUGUAGCUAUGAAUGACUCCAAGGCUCGCAGCCGGUGAUCCCGUCGCGCGUUACGCUUAGCACGAUUAAACUGACGACGUAACUCUUGAAAACUCGUAUGCCCCACGGCCGGGGCAGCACACCCCCACUUCAUCACAUCAGACCGAUACUGCAGCAUGGCCUGCUUAGCCGCAGCACACUCAUCAUUCCACCACGCCGCCUUGCCGUUAGAAACCGGCCCGGGCCUGAAGGCAUCACCGAAGCAACCCAGCAAAAUCCGUUCGAUAGUGUCCACCGCCUGGGUGACACCAAUCUGGCCAGCACGCAGGGAAUCCACAACCGCCCGGACACCAACCACAGGGGGGGCCUCCACUUAAACUGCCGCCGAUGCGGCAACAGUGGCGGCGGCGUCGCCUUUGGUGAUGCCGCCGCCGGCGGAGCUGUCGUCUUCUUCCCCCAUCCGUCCAUUGAUCAUCCUCCUCCACACGUUACUUCAACUGCCGCCGUUACGGCAACAGCGGCGGCGGCGUCGCCUUUGGUGAUGCCGCCGCCGGCGGAGCUUUCAUCAUCUUCCCCCAUCCGUCCAUUGAUCAUCAAGCGCCACACGUCACUUCAACUGCCGCCGAUGCGGCAACAGUGGCGGCGGCGUCGCCUUUGGUGAUGCAGCCGCCGGCGGAGCUGUCGUCUUCUUCCCCCAUCCGUCCAUGCAUGAUCCUCCUCCUCAACACGUUACUUCAACUGCCGCCGACGCGGCAACAGCGGCGGCGGCGUCUCCUUUGGUGAUGCCGCCGCCGGCGGAGCUGUCGUCUUCUUCCCCCAUCCGUCCAUUGAUCAUCCUCCUCCACACGUCACUUUACCUGCCGCCGAUGCGGCAACAGCGGCGGCGGCGUCGCCUUUGGUGAUGCCGCCGCCGGCGGAGCUGUCGUCUUCUUCCCCCAUCCCUCCAUGCAUGAUCAUCCUCCUCCAGACGUUACUUCAACUGCCGCCGAUGCGGCAACAGCGGCGGCGGCGUCGCCUUUGGUGAUGCCGCCGCCGGCGGAGCUGUCGUCUUCUUCCCCCACCCGUCCAUUGAUCCUCCUCCUCAACACGUUACUUCAACUGCCGCCGAUGCGGCAACAGCGGCGGCGGCGUCGCCUUUGGUGAUGCCGCCGCCGGCGGAGCUGUCGUCUUCUUCCCCCAUCCGUCCAUUGAUCCUCCUCCUCAACACGUUACUUCAACUGCCGCCGAUGCGGCAACAGUGGCGGCGGCGUCGCCUUUGGUGAUGCCGCCGCCGGCGGAGCUGUCGUCUUCUUCCCCCAUCCGUCCAUUGAUCCUCCUCCUCCACACGUCACUUCAACUGCCGCCGAUGCGGCAACAGCGGCGGCGGCGUCUCCUUUGGUGAUGCCGCCGCCGGCGGAGCUGUCGUCUUCUUCCCCCAUCCGUCCAUUGAUCAUCCUCCUCCACACGUCACUUUACCUGCCGCCGACGCGGCAACAGCGGCGGCGGCGUCGCCUUUGGUGAUGCCGCCGCCGGCGGAGCUGUCGUCUUCUUCCCCCAUCCCUCCAUGCAUGAUCAUCCUCCUCCAGACGUUACUUCAACUGCCGCCGAUGCGGCAACAGCGGCGGCGGCGUCGCCUUUGGUGAUGCCGCCGCCGGCGGAGCUGUCGUCUUCUUCCCCCACCCGUCCAUUGAUCCUCCUCCUCAACACGUUACUUCAACUGCCGCCGAUGCGGCAACAGUGGCGGCGGCGUCGCCUUUGGUGAUGCAGCCGCCGGCGGAGCUGUCGUCUUCUUCCCCCAUCCGUCCAUUGAUCAUCCUCCUCCACACGAUACUUCAACUGCCGCCGAUGCGGCAACAGUGGCGGCGGCGUCGCCUUUGGUGAUGCCGCCGCCGGCGGAGCUGUCGUCUUCUUCCCCCAUCCGUCCAUUGAUCCUCCUCCUCCACACGAUACUUCAACUGCCGCCGAUGCGGCAACAGUGGCGGCGGCGUCGCCUUUGGUGAUGCCGCCGCCGGCGGAGCUGUGUCUUCUUCCCCCAUCCGUCCAUUGAUCAUCAAGCGCCACACGUCACUUCAACGGCCGCCGAUGCGGCAACAGCGGCGGCGGCGUCGCCUUUGGUGAUGCCGCCGUCGGCGGAGCUUUCAUCAUCUUCCCCCACCAGUCCAUUGAUCCUCCUCCUCCACACGUCACUUCAACUGCCGCCGAUGCGGCAACAGCGGCGGCGGCGUCGCCUUUGGUGAUGCCGCCGCCGGCGGAGCUGUCGUCUUCUUCCCCCACCCGUCCAUUGAUCCUCCUCCUCCACACGUUACUUCAACUGCCGCCGAUGCGGCAACAGCGGCGGCGGCGUCGCCUUUGGUGAUGCCGCCGCCGGCGGAGCUGUCGUCUUCUUCCCCCAUCCCUCCAUGCAUGAUCAUCCUCCUCCAGACGUCACUUCAACUGCCGCCGAUGCGGCAACAGCGGCGGCGGCGUCGCCUUUGGUGAUGCCGCCGCCGGCGGAGCUGUCGUCUUCUUCCCCCACCCGUCCAUUGAUCAUCCU
rnacentral:lncRNA from 1 species